GACGAACCGUGCGAACGUUGUUCGGAAUCACUGGGCUUAAAGGGCGCGUAGGCGGGCUGCCAAGUUCGGGGUGAAAUCCUCCCGCUCAACGGGAGAACGGCCCCGAAUACUGGCGGUCUCGAGGGAGGUAGGGGCGUGCGGAACUAUGGGUGGAGCGGUGAAAUGCGUUGAUAUCCAUAGGAACUCCGGUGGCGAAGGCGGCACGCUGGACCUCUUCUGACGCUGAGGCGCGAAAGCGUGGGGAGCAAACAGG
rnacentral:rRNA from 1 species